UACGUAGGUGACCAGCGUUGUCCGGAUUUACUGGGCGUAAAGCGUGCGUAGUCGGUUAUUUAAGUCGGGUGUGAAAGCCCCGGGCUCAACCUGGGAAUUGCAUUCGAUACUGGAUAGCUAGAGUUCGGCAGAGGGAAGCGGAAUUUCCGGUGUAGCGGUGAAAUGCGUAGAUAUCGGAAGGAACAUCAGUGGCGAAAGCGGCUUCCUGGACCAGAACUGACGAUCAGGCACGAAAGCGUGGGGAGCAAACAGG
rnacentral:rRNA from 1 species